rnacentral:rRNA from 1 species
AUUGAACGCUGGCGGCAGGCCUAACACAUGCAAGUCGAACGGUAGCACAGAGAGCUUGCUCUCGGGUGACGAGUGGCGGACGGGUGAGUAACGUCUGGGAAACUGCCCGUGGGAGGGGGAUAACUACUGGGAACGGUAACUAAUGCCGGAUAACGUCGCAAGCCCAAAGUGGGGGACCUUCGGGCCUCAGCCCAUCGGCGUUGCCCAGAUGGGAUUAGUUAGUAGGUGGGGUAAUGGCUCACCUAGCCAACGAUCUGUAGCUGGUCUGAGAGGACGACCAGCCACACUGGAACUGAGACACGGUCCAGACUCCUACGGGAUGCAGCAGUGGGGAAUUUUGGACAAUGGGCGAAAGCCUGAUCCAGCCAUUCCGCGUGCAGGAUGAAGGCCCUCGGGUUGUAAACUGCUUUUGUACAGAACGAAAAGGUUUCUACUAAUACUAGGAGCUCAUGACGGUACUGUAAGAAUAGGCACCGGCUAACUACGUGCCAGCCGCCGCCGUAA